GGAGCCACUAGCUGAACGACUCACGGUAACUGUCAUCAAAGCCAAGGACCUGCCCAAGCCGUCGUCUGGAACUAUGCCAGAUCCCCAAGUUAAAAUAUUCGUAUCCCAACACGGCAAAGAACAAAUGAAGAAGUCGAGAACCAAGAAGGGAGCAACGUCGCCAACAUGGAAGGAGGCUUUCUCAAUCCUCGUAUCAGCAGAACCGAAUGAUCUCAAGUAUUAUACUACGGUUAACGUCGUCGUUUACGAUGUAGGUGGCAGCAGCGGCGGCGAGGAAAUCAUCAUAGGACAGGUACGACUUGUGCCUUGGCGCUACACAGCGAUGCUGAGAGCAAUCACUGGA